rnacentral:rRNA from 1 species
CCAGACUCCUACGGGAGGCAGCAGUGGGGAAUAUUGCACAAUGGGGGAAACCCUGAUGCAGCGACGCCGCGUGAGCGAUGAAGUAUUUCGGUAUGUAAAGCUCUAUCAGCAGGGAAGAAGAUGACGGUACCUGACUAAGAAGCCCCGGCUAACUACGUGCCAGCAGCCGCGGUAAUACGUAGGGGGCAAGCGUUAUCCGGAUUUACUGGGUGUAAAGGGAGCGUAGACGGCGAUGCAAGCCAGAUGUGAAAGCCCGGGGCUCAACCCCGGGACUGCAUUGGAAACUGGCAGGCUGGAGUGCCGGAGAGGCAGGCGGAAUUCCUAGUGUAGCGGUGAAAUGCGUAGAUAUUAGGAGGAACACCAGUGGCGAAGGCGGCCUGCUGGACGGUGACUGACGCUGAGGCUCGAAAGCGUGGGGAGCAAACAGGAUUAGAUACCCUAGUAC